ACCCCACCGUCCUUACCAGCAAAAUAAAACCACCUCAAUCCUGGAACAUGGGUAUUUGCUCAGAGAAGCUGCACCCAGCACGGGGCUGUGCGCUACGCGAGGAGGAACCGAAAGAGAGAAGUGGUCGGGUAAAUGCUAUCCAGGAAAUGCAGCAACAGUUCUGUUCUGGCAGAGAGCCACAGCAACACUCCCUGAGGGAGCGUCCACGUGGAGGAAAAAAGAAGGAAGAAAAAAAAAAAAGCAAACAUUCCAGGAAUAGAAUGAAAACAGAGCCCUUUAGGAGGACCCUGACAUUUACAGGUCCCUGCAGCUCUCAGGAGAGCCCUGGGCCCUGUGCCCAGUAGUGACAGCAACAGGGCACGCAGCUGCAGCCCAGCAAGAAGGCACUCAGUGUGUCAGCGCCAUGCAGGGCUUGCAGAGGAGUUCCCGGCUGCUGUCUGCACUGCUGCGGGCACAGAGGGUCCCCCGGGCCGGGGUCACCUCCAAGCCACCCGAGCACCCUGUCUCUCCUGCUGAGCAAGCCAUCGCAAUGACGGUGAUGUUCACAUGCCUGCUGGGGCCUGCAGCCUGGGUCCUGGCCCAUGUGGAGCACUACAAGAGCAGAACACACUGAGAAGUAGAACUGAUGUCACAGAACGGGUCUUCAUCCAGGGAAGAACCGUCUAAGCACGUUCAUUAAAUCUCAUGUUGGAAUGAAA